rnacentral:rRNA from 1 species
UACAGAGGUCUCAAGCGUUUGUUCGGAUUCAUUGGGCGUAAAGGGUGCGUAGGUGGCGUCGUAAGUCGGGUGUGAAAUUUCGGAGCUCAACUCCGAAACUGCAUUCGAUACUGCGGUGCUUGAGGACUGGAGAGGAGACUGGAAUUUACGGUGUAGCAGUGAAAUGCGUAGAGAUCGUAAGGAAGACCAGUGGCGAAGGCGGGUCUCUGGACAGUUCCUGACACUGAGGCACGAAGGCCAGGGGAGCAAACGGG